UCUUGUGAGCGGUGAAUGCGUAGAUUAGGAAGGACACCAGUGCGAAGCGGCUCUCUGACCAAACUGACACUGAGGUGCGAAAGCGUGGGAGCAAACAGGAUUAGAUACCCUGGUAGUCCACCCUGUAAACGAUGUCAACUAGCCGUUGGGACUCUUGAAGUCUUAGUGGCGCAGCUAACGCACUAAGUAGACCGCCUGGGGAGUACGGCCGCAAGGUUAAAACUCAAAUGAAUUGACGGGGGCCCGCACAAGCGGUGGAGCAUGUGGUUUACUUCGACGCAACGCGAAGAACCUUACCUGGCCUUGACAUGCAGAGAACUUUCCAGAGAUGGAUUGGUGCCUUCGGGAACUCUGACACAGGUGCUGCAUGGCCGUCGUCAGCUCGUGUCGUGAGAUGUUGGGUUAAGUCCCGUAACGAGCGCAACCCCUAUCCCUAGUUGCUAGCAGUUCGGCUGAGAACUCUAGGGAGACUGCCGGUGACAAACCGGAGGAAGGUGGGGAUGACGUCAGGUCAUCAUGGCCCUUACGGCCAGGGCUACACACGUGCUACAAUGGUGCGUACAGAGGGCUGCAAACCCGCGAGGGGGAGCUAAUCUCACAAAACGCAUCGUAGUCCGGAUCGCAGUCUGCAACUCGACUCCGUGAAGUCGGAAUCGCUAGUAAUCGCGAAUCAGAAUGUCGCGGUGAAU
rnacentral:rRNA from 1 species